CUGCCGUAUACUGGGGGAUAACACUUAGAAAUAGGUGCUAAUACCGCAUAAGCGCACAGCUUCGCAUGAAGUGGUGUGAAAAACUCUGGUGGUAUACGAUGGUUCCGCGUCUGAUUAGCUUGUUGGUGGGGUAAUGGCUCACCAAGGCGACGAUCAGUAGCCGGCCUGAGAGGGUGAACGGCCACAUUGGGACUGAGACACGGCCCAAACUCCUACGGGAGGCAGCAGUGGGGAAUAUUGCACAAUGGGGGAAACCCUGAUGCAGCGACGCCGCGUGAGUGAAGAAGUAUUUCGGUAUGUAAAGCUCUAUCAGCAGGGAAGAAAUAGCGACCUUUGGGUCGCCAGACGGUACCUGAUUAAGAAGCCCCGGCUAACUACGUGCCAGCAGCCGCGGUAAUACGUAGGGGGCAAGCGUUAUCCGGAUUUACUGGGUGUAAAGGGAGCGUAGACGGCAGCACAAGUCUGAAGUGAAAUGCCGGGGCUUAACCCCGGAACUGCUUUGGAAACUGUGCAGCUAGAGUGCAGGAGAGGUAAGUGGAAUUCCUAGUGUAGCGGUGAAAUGCGUAGAUAUUAGGAGGAACACCAGUGGCGAAGGCGGCUUGCUGGACUGUAACUGACGUUGAGGCUCGAAAGCGUGGGGAGCAAACAGGAUUAGAUACCCUGGUAGUCCACGCUGUAAACGAUGA
rnacentral:rRNA from 1 species